rnacentral:tRNA from 1 species
AGCAGCAUGGCGCAGUGGAAGCGCGCGGGGCUCAUAACCCCGAGGUCACUUGAUCGAGACAAGUUGCUGCUA